GGAGGGUUCGCAUAGCGGUCUAGUGCGCACGCUUGGAAAGCGUGUGUGCCGAAAGGCACCAAGAGUUCGAAUCUCUUACCCUCCGCCA
rnacentral:tRNA from 1 species